CCUCCAUGCUGAACAGGCAUGCAUGGCUGAGGCUCCUGCUUUCAGCCAUAUUAACCAAGACUACUAACUUUAAUUUUUCUGUAACUCCGAAGUAUUUUUCUGCACACCACUUUGCUUUAUUUGCUGCUGCGUUGAAAUGUAAGUAACCCCUUUUUUUGUUUAUCUUACUAAAAACGUGGUUUCAUUCUCUGUAAAGGGGGUGAAGAGGAGGGAAGUUCAACAGACCACAAAUAGAAGCGAUACAAAGGUAUAAAUGCCUAAUUCCUAAACUUUAAUAAGCUGCAAAACACAUAAGUGUUUUUACUCUGCUAAAAAGGGCAGUUCUCAAUCCUCCUGGUCACCAAGAUGGAGAGCAGGAGGGUUGUGCUGGUUUGCCCAGCUGUGAGCCUUCUGCACUCUGCACUGAUGAUUCUUGGCUCCAGAAGGAUUGUGGUGCUUCCUUGGCACUUGGCACAAUCUGGAUUUCAAAGUCAUGGAACAGUUCAGUUCAGGAUGACCCACUGCCAGCGAACUGCUCCAGCAAUGCUGCUUAAAAAUGGAGAGAGAAAGAGAAAUGUGGGUGAGGCUUGGAGAGGGAAAACAUGAGCAGUUUAUCUCCCCCUUCAACAGCCUUCUCUCCCCUGCUUUCUUGGGAGGACAGGGAAGGAGAGAUGCUAAGUCGCCUUCCUUUUAGUUGAGCCCACAGGUCUGUGUUUUUGCAAGGGGGUGCAUUUUGUUUUGCUUGCCUGGGCAUACAAAGGCGCCACUGAGGCAGAGUCUGACUUCCUACAGUCACUCCUGGCAGAACAACAGUCUUGUUUCUGUCUGGGUCAGGAAAAGCUUUAGAAUGCCCUUCUCUAACAUUCAAAACAUCACUUAAGAAAACCAGGCAAAGUUUUUGCUGACAUUUAUUAAUCCUGCAGAGUUGAGGAGAUGCUAAGUUAAGGUUUGGCUCACCAGGUGACAGAGAACAUUUUGCCCAGAGGCAGCAAUUACAUUCCAGGAGUAGUGUCAGGAUCACUUAGUUCUGAGGGGAGACCAAGAUCUGAAAAUCAGUGCAAAGUUCUUCCUGAGGAAUAUUCAAAGGCACAAGCAAGGGGAGAGUUUGAGCUGAACCACCUGUGUCAACAAAGGGGCAAGGCCACGGUCUGUGUCCAUUUUCAUACAAAGCUGGUGUUACCUUGAAGGCUUUUUUAAUAGUUUUUUUCCUUACAGGGGCUCCUGAUGGAGUUUUGGAGCAGAAGGGAUUAGUGUUUGUUUACUUGUUUGCUGGCUUGCUCGCUUGCUUGAGAGGCCAGGAAGAAAGGCAGCCUCCACCACCUUUUCAAAUGGCAAGCUCCCACAUUCAGCCUGCCUCUUGCGCAGCCCUCGUGAGCAAGCAGACUGGAACAUGUCAUGCUUCAAAUAAUCACUUUAGCUUCAGCCAGGGAGGGAGGCACCUAUGAUCGGAUAUGCUCUUUUUCUAAAUUGCUUUCUCUUCCAUCUGCUCUUAUGAACCACAAGGGGCAUAUUGUGCAGUCGGGAUGUGGCCUCUCCCACAGAAGCUGCAUGGUGAUUUUUGCAGUGGAACUGGCAUCGUCAAACAGGCGUUACAAGAAGAAGGCCUACCAAGGAGCGCUGAUCUACAUGCCUAGAAAAAGCAGGUGGAACAGAUUAUUUCAUGUCUCUAUUUGCAAUUCUAUAAUUUUAUUAUUGUUAUGUAUUCAUUAUAUGAAUAUUUAAUUUAUAUACCGCCCUUCGUCCAAGGAUCACAGGGCGGUUUACAAUACAAAAACACAAAAUUACAUAACAUAAUAACAAACUAAACAGUAUUUCCACCCCACCCCCCAUCCACACACACACACACACACACACAGUUUAAAAGGCCAUAGAUUGUUUGAUUAACCAGAGGCCUGGGAGAAAAGGAAAGUUUCCACCUGUCGCCUGAAGAUGUGUAAUGAAGGUGCCAGGCAGGUCUCUUUGGGAAGAGCAUUCCACAAACGGGGAGCCACUGCAAAAAAAAGGCCUGUUCUCAUGUUGCCUCCCCCUGGACCUCUUGUGGAGGAGGCACACGAAGAAGGGCCUCAGAUGAUGGUCGCAGGAUCUGCUUCGUUCAUAUGGAAUACCCUCCACCCAGAAGUGCCAACUUGAAUAAAAUAUUGGGGGGAGGGGACAGGUAAGCCCCACCCUGCGUAAUUGAUCACAUGAUGCAGUGCAGGCUCACCAUUUGAAUGACAAUGCCCAUCGACUUUGGGGUGGCCCAGCCUCCUCAAAUAUUUUAUGGGGGCGGGCAAAGGGACCUCAGCCCCUAGGAACUGGCUCCUAUGCCUCCGACAUCCCUCAGAUGAAAAUCGGGACAUUUUCAUCUGAGGAAUGCAAGGUGCUUCUGGCUAGUGGAAAAGCAUGGGGGGCAGGAAUGCAUGUGCACACGCACUUGUUACAUACAUGCUCAGAGGUGCUACUUCAUUAUCUUCAUUGCCUUGCAUGUCUCCCCCAUCCUGCUAGCUGCUGAAGAUUCGCCCACUACCGCUGCUGUCUCCAAUCUGCACAGUGGUCCUUUUAAGCCCACUCCCCCAUCUCUCUGCCUCCUGCUCCCAGUGGUGCCCUAGUUAAGAACAUCACUGCCAAGCUCGGAGCCGGAUGCUAUGUUGUGAGGGGCAGAGAGCCAGGAUCCAUGCAAAUUGGAUCUGAAGCACCUGCCCUGGAGAGUCCAGUCUGCCAUGUGGACAGCAGAGGAGCCUCAGACCCCGUGUGGCUUCUGAGAUCUUCCACCGCUCUCUCACUCGCUGUGGGGCAGUGCUGUGAGGGGGGAGCAAAGCCUUGAAAUCAGGCAUGCCCCAAUUUCAAGUCAGAAGCCGAGGUGGCUUUACCAAUUCUGGGACCUUCCCGGAAGAAUCAGGGCAGUUGAGGGAUAUUUGCAGUCCUGAGCCGUUUAAGGCUCUACGCCUCAAUCUGUGCUACUGGUGGCACCAGAAGCCACAUGUAAAGCCAUAAACCUGAGGAUUCCAUGUCACACCUCAAAUCUCCCAAAAGAUAUUGGGCAGCUCUCCUCCUUUGCCUGAAUUCGUAAGCAAACAUACAAAGACUUCUUUAUUUACUCAGGCUUUGGGCUGAUAGUUUUAUAAAGUUUGUACCCUACUGGUAUUAACUGCUGUUUAUAACAUGAUAUAGUGUUGUUUUGAAUUGUUUUUACAUAUUUUUUAUUUUAAUCUGAGGCACCCUAGGGGUGGGCAAGUUAGACACUUGAAAUAAUAAAUGAAUGAAUGAAAUAAUGAAUAAACCAAUGCUGCUGCUGCAUAAUAACAGUGAUGCUGUUCCUUGUUAGGGGCAAGGAGGUUAUUUAACAGGGGUGUGUGCAUUGCUGCAGCUGCUCUGGAUCCGUGCCUCCUUUGACACAGCUGGCCUCCCUCAAGCCUGCAGCUUUGGAACUGGGCAGCCGGGAUACUCUGUGAAGAAGAGAACUUAUCCUAAGGUCUCCCUCUGCUUCUCUCCAUGAAUUCAGAACAGGGUUCAGCACAGCAAAGGCAAGAGCGGAGGGCUAUCCAUCCGACAGGGCUUGUUACUCCUGUUCUGUGUACCUGCAGAUUACAUUUGUACCUCAAAUGUCCGUCAGUUGAUGGAAAGGGUAUCUAAUAUAUCUGUUGCUGUGAGUGUUUCAAUCAUCCUAGGCUCUCCGUGGAGGCCUCUGAAGGGCUGUUCCUGAUCAAAUCAAUUCCAGUGGACCUGUGGAGUGUGAAAUGACAGUGCAGGAGGGCCUCUUUUGCAGACUGGAAGGUGUGAAUUGGCACCUUGGAGGAGGCCUCUUCUCCCACUGUAAAGAGACUUACAGAAACACACUUGAAGAUGUGGCUCUUACUUUCUCCUGUUCCAUUUGUAACGCAAGCAGCUGUUCCUUUCAGGAGGGAGAUGAAUUGUAAACAAUGUGCUUGAUAUCUGAUGGCCAGGAUUCCUUUGCCUGGUACCUGAAGAACCAGGUGAGGUUGUGUGGGUGAGCAAGAGACUUAUCCAAGUCUCGGAAUAAAAUUAGCCCUGAAGCUGUGAUAGCAGGAGCAGUAAAUAUUGCAUCUCUCAUAGCUGCCCUGGGGUGGAGAUGGUUCCUGCGGGUGGCGCUGUGAUCUAAACCACCGAGCCUCUUGGGCUUGCCGAUUGGAAGGUCGGCAAUUCGAAUCCCCACAACGGGGUGAGCACCCGUUGCUCUGUCCCAGCUCCUGCCAACCUAGCAGUUCAAAAGCAUACCAGUGCAAGUAGAUAAAUAGGUACCGCUGCAGCGGGAAGGUAAACAGUGUUUACGUGCGCUCUAGUUUCCGUCACGGUGUCCCGUUGUGCCAGAAGCGGUUUAUUCAUGCUGGCCACAUGACCCAGAAAGCUGUCUGUGGACAAACGACGGCUCCCUCGGCCUGAAAGCGAGAUGAGCGCCACAACCCCAUAGUCGCCUUUGAUUGGACUUAACCGUCCAGGGGUCCUUUACCUUUUUACCUUUAAAUGCCCCAAACACACCAACGUAAUUAUAUUCCAAACAACCUUAAUGUGAUGUGCAGAAAAUAGAAAUCAGAUGCAAUAUAACUGUUUCAGAACAUUACAUGAAGUAGAGCUUCCAUUAGAUGCUUUGCAGGUUCCAGGUUGCACCUACAAGUACUGGAAGAAGGAGCCAUAGAAUGGCUGACCUCAACACACACACAAAAUUGUUGGGAAAUUAAAAUCCAGCUGUGACUCAGGGCAAGUAAAUAGAAGCCCAGCGGAGCCUUCCCUAGCAGUUUCCUAGAAGAAAUCAGGAUGGAUUUUAUUUAAAUCACUAGUCAGUAAGACUUGAUUUAAAUCAUUUUUUUACAAAAAGACUAAUUCUUGCUUGUAUAAGGUUUCAUUUUUGAAAUAAUAAAUUUUCAGAGUAGUUUUUACACUUAUAUCAAAAAUUACUGAUUUGGUUAUACUAUUAGAAAUACAUAGAUAAUUAUGACAUUAUUGUGAGGUUUAAUAAGUUAACUGUUUAUAGGGGCUUUAUAUCCCAGCAGGCCUGGCUUUGGAGAGGCUGGCGUUCCUUUUCCACAGGGAAGGGGGGGAGAUACAGUUGGUAGGCCCAGGCUGGGCAGGUUUGCAGAAAGAACAGGCUGAGGCUGAGGAGAAACAGGCCGUUGCAAAGCUGGAAAGGGGGAACCAAGGACUGGAGCAGAACUUCAGGGAUUCCUGCUGCAGGACUGAAGUUCCAGGUAGAAACUUAAAAAAAAAAAAAAUACAAUUUAUUAAUUUUAUAAUAACAACAAAAAAAUCAUCAAAAAAUUAACUUAUACAUCUUAAUUGACUUCCCUCCCCCCUUCUGGUUCCAUUAUUUUAUACUUAAUCAUGCACAUCUAUAGUGUUUUAUAUUCUUAACAAUCCCAUUUUAAAACUUCAUUCAUGUUGUUACAAGUGACUUUUAGAAGUUCAACUAAUGUAAAAAUCUUCAUCUGGUUCGUUGGCAAACAAAGCAAGCAGGUAAGAGAUGGUCCUUCUGCAAGGUGUGUCUGUUGCCUGCCUUGGAAGGAACUAUAAGACCUUUCUUCCUAAAGCGAAUUUUGUCAGUUUCCUCACAGACUCCGGUUUGGUCCCUGCCAGGUGAAGCACGAAGUUAAAUAGCUCCGUCUUGGCAUUGUUACAGAAUGUGAAUUUUGAAGUCUUUCAGUAAUCCAAGAGAGUCCGCAGGGCGAGCAGGGACUGCAUGCUGCGCCUGGGACAAAGAGCCAUCUCCAAAGCCCUUGUCAGCCAUGGAGCUUGCUGAGGUGAGGGCAGUGCCCCAUGCCAGGGUUAGUACAGGGUUAGUACAGAAUUAGUACUUAACCACAAGCUUCCCAGCUGACUGAGCACCACCCACCCUUUCUGGGGAGGGUUGCCAGUAUCAUGGCUGUGAAGUGCUCUGAGCCCAAAAGUCUGGUGGUCCUUUAGAGACUAACAAGUUUAUUCCAGCAGACACAUUCCUGGCUGAUGGACAGUCCCUGACAUCAGAUGCCAGCUCAUCAAAAAGCCAAAAGCCAGUGUCAGCCCACAGCGCCCCUGUUUUUCUCUCCCCUAUCGACCUGUCUUGUUCUCUUAUAGGUAACGUAACCUGGAAGGAGAACAGAAUUGAAAUGUGGCGAAGAGUGGACAUCUCCCUUAACACGAGUCUCAUGCUACAAACCAGAGGGUUGGGUGAAGAAGAGAGAUCUUGCGCACCUCCCAAGCCGUUCUGAAAACAUUAUCUCAUUAAACUAGGAGCCUGCCACUGGCUUAAGUGGCCUGCAAAUCAGUCUGACAGAGUGUUUAGAAAUGUGUGUAGCUGGAAGCAUCGCAGGCAGGCCGUGGGGACGCUUGCCUAAGAGUUUUAAAGGUAAGAGCCACAUUUCACACAGAAUAAAUCCGGGAAAGGGUGCAUCUCUGGCCCUUGCAGAUUUCUCUUCCCCUCCUCCACCCACCAUCUGAUGGCAGGGAGGGGAGUAGAAAAGAAGCCCACCCACAGCCCUCUGGGGCAAAUGGAGCUUACGGCCCCCUUCUGUGGCUCUCCAGCUGCAUUUUUUUUAACACUAAGGUUGAUACGGGAGAAAGCAAGCAUGUGAGCGUCACAGGUUAUGGUUAUCAGGUGUCUCCAUUUCCCAGGGACCGUCCCAGAUUUACAAAUCCGUCCCUGGACAGAAUCUGUCCCCGGAAUGUCCCCGGAUUUCAGUUAAUGUCUCCGGAUUUAUAUUUUAAGUGUUGUCGAUUUAUUAGUAGGGAAUGAAUGUUGUGUGAUUGGUUCAGCGGCACAAGACACAUCAUAUGGGGACUUCCGGCGAGUCAAAAUGGUGGGCGCCACGGCAGCGAGCAGCUUCUGAAGCCAGCCAGAGUCAACUUCACUACCAGGCUCACUCUGGGCUGCUGAGACUGCCACUGCCACUGCUGAGGGAGAACCGGGGACACCUGGUGCAUCAACCGGGGGAACCACUUACCCACCCCCCAUGACCCAAAUCAUGCCAGAAGUGAGAGCACUCGGCCGACCGCCCAGCAGCACUCCAGGGCCAGGAAAACCCCGGAGCUGAUGCAGGGAGAAGGAGGAGAGGAGAAGGAGAAGGAAGAGAGAGAAAGAGGAAGGAGAAAAAAGAGGGGAGCCCCGACCUUGCCACGCAGCUGCUGCCGCUGAGAAAGAGAGGAGAGCACCGGGAGGGCAAGGACACGUGGCCGAGCCCAGGCCCAACCCAAGUCUACUCCACGGCGGCUAGCAUUCCAAGAGAGCAGGCCGGGGCCCAGAGGAAGGCUGCACGACAGAGGAGACCACAGAAGAGAAGAUACUACUUCUUAAUAUUUUUGGAAAAUAUUUUUUAAUAACUUUUUUCUCUCUUUUUUUUUUAAAAAAAAGUGUCCCCAAUUCUUUGAAAAAAAUCUGGUAACCAUAUCACAGGUGAGAAGCAGAGGGUGUAACCUCAGAUGCAAACUGGUGGUUGGAAGCAUUUGUUUUGCUAAGAGGACAGGCUUGUGGGCUCUCUGAUCAGCUGGUCCCUCCUGGGAGGCAGAGUGGUCCUGCAGUGCUGGAGGUGAGUGAUUGCAAAGGACUCCCGUGACCUGGAGGGAAGGGAGUCAGGGCCUGGGGGGCCGGCUGGCUGGGGGGCUUGCACUACAGAUCAGCUCCACAAGGACUCUGGACCUCUUCUGCAGAUCAAGCCCCAAGAUGGAGCAGCUGCAUCUUGUCCCCGGAGUGCCUUGACUCCUUUCAGCGGAGCAGCAAAAGACCAGUCCUAGGAAAUCCAAUGCAGAUUCAUUUCACCCCUUUCUGCCAGAAGUACAAUGCCUACACGUUUCCAUUAUAGUGUGCAGCUACUCGCUGCAUCUUGCCUCUGUAAUAGAAUUGGUAAAUGGGCAGGGUGGGGGUUGUUGGGAGCAGCUGUUGGUUUUCCUGCAGUUUCUGUGCGUCGAAAUCAAGAGGGGAAGGGAGGGCAGGGCUUGGGGAAGGUUUUGCGCUACAGCGCUUCAGCCUCUGUCCUAGACCAAGCAGCGCCCCCUGCUGGUCUCUCUCCGACACAACAGCACCUCCGUUUUUGGCAACUGGCAGUGGGAAGCAUAGCUGGAAAGCAGCAGUGGGAACAUCUGUGGCCCUCCAGAUGUUGGGUUUGCUGGGAGUUGGGGGGGCAGCAACAAGGGACUGCAGCGAGAUGGUGGAGAAGAACGGAAGGGAGCUAUGAGGUGGAAGGGCAGACCCAUAGAUGUGCCUUUUUCAAAAGUAAAUAUUUAAUUUGUCUCAUGCCUCCAGAAUAAUUAAAGGAGGGAUUAUAAAGCCUCUUCCCACUUAGACAACAGAGUGAGCACAUCAAAGUCUCUCUGCUUAUCUAGGCAUAUUCUCAAGAGCAAAAGGCAUUUGGGGCAGCGGGUGCCUUCUGCUCUUUCCAGGGGAAUAGUGUUACAUGGAUGCUGCCCAGGUAAAAUUUGUAUGCUGUAAUAUAUUUUAAAAUAAAACACUGAUUGGAUGUUUUCCCGUAGCAGGACAGGGCAAGCAACAAAUCCAUGCACCCACACAAGUGAUCUUGGUAUCUGUUAUGAGCAGUGAGGCCCUUUUAAUUACACCUGGAUAUUGGACCAAGGGCUUGUCCACACCUAACCUUUGCCCCGCUCUUUGCAGGCAGAGGUCCAUGCUUAAAAGCUCUGUGUCUAAAGGUUGCUGGUGGUUUCUUCUUCUUCUUUUGCCCCAGGGAAAGCUCAGUUUGGGUGCUAGUUCCCUCUCUUUCUUCCCCCUGCCUUGCCCAAUUAGGCUCCUUCCAUCCACCCUCCUCUGCACAUCCUUGUGGCUGCUCAGCCAGUGGCUGCCAGCUUUUGUUAGCUCCGUGGCUUGAUGACAGCCAAGGGGGGAUCAGGGUUCUCUUGCCUGGGCAACGUACCUGCUGUGCUAGGGUCUGAGGCAACUGUUCACUGCUUCUAGAGAGCCUUGUUUGGCUGUGGGCAGAGGGGCUGUUCCAAGGCCGCCCCCAAGUUCUCUCUCACCCUGUCUUGGCACUCCAGCUGUAUCCUGGGCCGUGCACCAUGAGGGAAAGGGAAAUUGCCCCAAUACUGUCCCCCACUCCAGUGAAAGUGCUUGCCUGAGACCUCUCUGGGAAAGAAGUCCAGCGCCUUGGGCAGUGGGGACAGUGGCGGGUGGGGGGAGAGAGAAAACUAUUGCUCAAGGAAAUGCAACAUUGACGGAUGUGAAGCCGCAUCCAUCUCCCUCCUGCUUUUGUUUCCAAAGGAAACGAGCACAAUGUAAAUAAUAAAAGCAUUUUUAUUUAUUGUAGAAUAUGACUUAAAGAUGGUGGGGGGAUGUGCCGGAUGAGCGUGAUAAAAGAGGUGUGUGUUAAAAGUCCAGCAGGACCAGCAAGAGAUGGUUGCUCUCUUCACCAGUGACACCAGUGCAGACCAGUGCUGGGAAGAGGCCUAGCUGACCUUUGGGGGCUUCUCUGCCUGUUCUGUGAGCCCCGAGUGACAAGCCUUUCCAAGUAGUAGCAGCCCCCAUGCCUGCUCAGGAACAGGGCUUGGCUUUGUGGGACUUGACACCACCAGCUCCCAGUUGCACUCCCCUCCUGACUGCUUAUAAGGGAUCUUAGCAGCACCCAAGGAUCUCUCUGCCUGAGCUCCUGAAGAGCUGCUGGACUUGAGCCCUUGACCGAAGAACGGUACACUCCGUCUAUCUGGGAUGGUCGUCCUCUUCCACCGAGCACGCAGCUUUGGGAGGGACACACAUGGAGCGGUGAGGGAGGAAGGGGACACCCGCCUAGCCAGCCAGAUCAGCCGAAUCAACCCUGGCGAUCAAUGGGGUGACAGAUGUCGCAGCCAGAUCGCCCUCACAUCUGCUGGACUUGAGCAAAGGAGGAGGAAAAGGAGGAGGGGUCCACACUGGCUCAGGACCAAGCAGCUUUGGAUCUUGAGCUGAGCCAGAGGCUGCACUAGAAGCCAGAAAGAUUAUUUAUAUUUCAUUAUUUAUGUUGAACAUUUAUACCCCGCUCUUGAGCCAAAAAGGCUCCCAGAGUGGCUUGCAUGCCAUCGAAACAGGGCAGUCCCUACCCACAGCCAUACAAUCUGAAAAAAAGCACACAAGGUGAAAGGGACAGGGAUACAAGAGGAAAAUAAUCAAAACUCAGGCACCAGUUUAAAAUCUCCUCCUCCUGGCCAUUCUAACAAGGGUCAUUUGGACUCGCACCCAACUGUGGAAGACCCCCAAGAAGAAGUCAGUGGGCCAAUUCUCCAUUUGGACAUGAAGCCUGGGGCAGGGCAGGGCAGGGAAGGCUUCUCAGAUCUGCUCCACCCUCCAGGCAAGGGAAAGCAGGACAGUCUUCCUCCAGCAGCCCUCCAUCAGGAGAAGAGGCAUCCCUGGGGGGAGCGGUGGCAGUCCUUUGGAUGCUGGGAUGAUAUGCCCUAAUCAGAGAGGACAGUGAGGAGAACCCUGGGAAAAUCAGCGCCUGAUCCCUGCUGGCUGGCAGAGCCAAAGUGGCGGCCCAGCAGCAGCAAGGCCCAUGUCGAGGUCGCAUUUGCAUAAUGGAUAAUCCGCAGCUUAAUGAAGAUCCGCUGUCAAAACAUGCCAUUUACACCGAGGCUCAUUUGUUCCAAACAUCACUCACUUUUCUAUUUUUACCCGGCGGCACAUCUCCAGCCUCAGUGCUCCUCAUCCCCAAAGCCUCUGCAACGUCAUCCCGACAACUUUCUGAAUGCAGGAUUAGAGGAAGCCUGGGAGGAGAGGCAGCAGCGGGUGUGUGUGUGUGUGUGUGUGUGUGUGUGUGUGUGUGUGUCGGGCAGUGGAGGCUGAGCAUUGGUAGGACAGUAGACAUCCCCCCUCCCCACAGCCUGUCAGUUUUGGAUUCCACUUCAUGCAUCUGGUCCAGGAAUGCUCAGGCCACCAUUCUAUACCUUUGGUGCCACAGCUGAGCUAGUCUGUUCUAAGGAAAACCACCAAGUAUACUUGGUGGUUUUCCUUACAACAGACCAGACCAGCUGUUGCCCCUCUGGAAAUAACUGCACACCCAGGCCCUGAGGAGGUCUGAGGUGGCAAAAAAAGGGACCAUGGUAGCACCAGGGAAGGACUUUGGGGCAGAUUUCUGGGCCCUCACUCACAAGAAUGAGCAGAUGCAGGCAGGCUGGUGGCUGCUGUCUUCUGAAGUGAGUGAGGAGACCUUGAAUGAGCAAGAGAGGCCUGCAAACACCAUCAAAAGUUCAGAGUCUAAAACGACCCAGCUGCACUCCACCAGAGCCAAGUGGGGUCACGCUGUACCACUUGCCUGCCCACGCAGGGGGGAGCCCGGCCAUCCAAUGCAGCCCUUGGCAGGUGAAUCCUCCUGCCACCUGCGGAGAGGAGCGCUGGACCGGGCCAUGCUGGGGUCGCCCACCCCCCAGAGGUGUUCAAAUGGAAGUCCUGCGAAUAAGUGCAUCUAUCCACACAUCAUCCAGUGGGGGCGGGGAGUCCCCCUGAUGCAUCAGCUGACCAAUGGCCUCACUCUGGCUCUGCCACCACUUUUCAUGUUGCUGCUUCUUUGGCAAAAUUCGUUAGAGGUUUUGCACAUGCGUUCUCUUUGGAAACAGCCUGUCUCAAGGCUUGAGUGACCACACGAGGCAGAAUCUGCUUCCGGAGGCUGUCAGAAUUCUGGAUCGUAUUUGGAAGAAGGCCCCAGGCCAGGAUUCAGGAAUUAAUCUUUCUAAGGGGAUGACAAGGUGGUAUACAAAUCAAAUUAUGAGCCAGCCAUAAGGAAUAUUAAAUCUGAAUUUGGAAGGCAAAAUAAACGAGGACUUUUGCGGCCAGCAGCAAAGGAACCGGCUGCCAAGACGCCUCACCUCGCCAAAACAAUGCUUCUUUUUCCAUUUCAGAUCAAUACUCAUUUAUGUUUCAGCAGACAAUAGCAAAAUGUAGAUGGGCAGUUAACAAACCUCACCGCCGAUAUUUCUGCCUAAAGCUGAGAGAGUUGGCUGAGGAGUCCAUGUGAGACUUCCUUCUGCACCUUCCAGGAUCUGAGCCUCUAAGGAGGCUGGAAAGCAAGAGGCUGGUCUGUUCCCAUUGGGAUUAAUUUCUUCCUGGGGUUUCUGCUGGGGUUUAUGUGCCUAAGAAAGAAGAGCUCUCGGACUCCUAAUUAUAGCCACAAAUUGAUUUUCAGAGUCAGGCGCUGAGAACCGGCACAGAGAUUUCACCUACCUGACCUUUGCAGUCACAAAUAAGUGGGACAAAGGCUGGGUCAACUUUUUUCUAUUUCUCUCCGGCAGGCCUUGAUUCUCCUGCUGCAACCAGAUUGCAGGAGCGAAAAACAGUGCUGUCGUUUAUCCUAAUCCAAGCCCCAAGAGUGAAGGCAAAGGAGAGAUGGGCUUACGUUGCUGGUUUAGAGCAAAAGACCGAAACGCAAGAGUGGAGAGAGCCCUGGGCAGGGGACAGCCUGUUUCAAAAUAUGUUUCACAGCAGAGCUUCUGACACCAGAGCUGUCUCCUUUGUCGCUCCCCUGAAUAAUUCCCAGCCGGGCUGUUUGCUACCAUGGCCUCCAGUCAGACUGGCUCCUCAGUUGGCUUCUUGGAGGGAGGGAAGGAGGGAGCACUCUGUUCUGCCCUGUCCUGCCCACUCCCACUGGAAAAGGCAAAAUUCAGAACCACCCAUCUCAUUUUUUUCCUCUGGGCGGGAGAGAGUUUUUAACUAGGGAUGGCACCCAGGCAGGCUGACCCUCGGGAACUGCUUAGAGGGGAAAGCACCUGUAAGGCACCUUCUUCUGAGACUCCCACAUCCCCCCCUUGGCCCCUGCUCUGAAGACAGUUCAUGGGAGGCAGACAAGCUUUUUGUGACCUGGGCUCCCUGUAGGACGUAGCCUCUGCUUCCUCUUGAAUCCUCACAGAUGACUGGAGCUUCAGGGCGUUUGCUGACGAAUGCAUGCAGCUGGUCCUGCUGGCCUUGGGCUAAUUAGACCUCUCCUGAUUCUGCGUGCGAGUGGCAGCGGGUGCUUCUUCCUAAGGGAGCCAUCCUGGCCAGGAGGGGGAGAUUCUGCUGCUGCUGCCUCCUCAGAAAGAACUAGUUUCCAAAACUGCUCAAGGGAGUGAAACGUCUUUGCGUAUUUGGCGACUUGUUUUGAAAAGCUGGCUGACUCACAGGGUUUGGGCAAAACCGCUUCUGGGAUCUCUGUGUCCUUGGCUGACAGCACCUUCCCCUGACACAAAUACUGCUUUUGUCCAAAAUGCCCCUCAGAAAACAGAGAGCAAGGAGGGUGCAGAACAGACCCUGCUGUGAGAACCAGCCACUGGCAGGGCGGGGUGCUGGCUCCCUGGAGCCCUUUUCCAGGGCUUGCCUACAUUUCCAGGCUGGGAGAGGGACCAUGAAAUCCCCUGUCCCCAGGGACUCAGCUAGAAGGUUGGUCCACAACAGGCUUUUGCACAGAGCCACCUGGCAGAGGGCCUUGAGCAGCCUGCAGUCAGAAUAAGCCCCGCAAGGUUGGGGAGGUAAGAGCUGCUGCUUUUGCUGGGAAUGGAGGUCAGGGGGAAAGGGAGGCCUAAUUUUAUAUGCCUACAGAAUUAAUAGAUGCAAUAGAAACAUCCUUCUCUUGGGACAGAGACAGCUGCUUCUAAUGCGUUUGCAACUUUAUCAGAUUUACUGAGCCACACUGACAUACUUAAUGAGUUUAAACACACACACACACACACACACACAAAUUAAUUUACACAAAGAUAAAUUCUUUCUCGCAAAUUGCAUUUGCCAGCUUCGUCGACUACCUAAAAUGAGUUAUCCACCCCCCCAAACCCGUUUUCUUUAUGCAGAAAUCACCAAAUAUCUCAGGGGGUGUCAAAUCUUUUUUCUGCCAUUUCUGCUGAAAAUGUAAACAGAUUUGAUGCAGAAUCACUUUCCCUUCGUGGCUGUUUCCCUAGACUGGGUUGGUGAGGAAGAGAGAGGCUGGGUACGUGUGGAGCUGAAGUUUUCUUUCCGGAGAUUCUCCAGCAGGGGAAAGAAAUGUUGGUGGGUCUGCAAAAGCCCACCUCCGUUUCUCUUUUUGCAUGAGCCAGGGCUAGGCAGAGGGCAAUCCAUCCAGUCCCCUCCUCUUGAAAUCCACAGGAGACUUGCCUCUACCUACAGUGGGAGACAGAUUGCAAGCCAGGUUGAUGCAAGUCACAAGGACUCCUCUCCCCCCCCCCCCCCAAGGAGAAGCAAGUUUGGCUGGGGUUUACCUAGAGCAGCCUUCCCCAUCCCUGACCAUUAAGCAUGCAGGCUGAGGCUGGUGGGAGUUGUAGUCCAACAAUACCUAGAUGUCAUGGACUGGUUGCAUGCAGAAGAAUGGUGGGAGGAACUGGCUGGGGAACCACCAAGGGAAGAAGCCUUGGAGCCCAGGGAGUGGAGGUGGGACAACGAUGAGUGGUCAGAGGGAAAAGGAGAAGACUGGGAAGAAGUAACAGGGCUUAAUGAGCUGGGAGAGUCGGUGACAGAGAGGAGUCCAGAAUCAGAGGUACAAGCCAGAGCCGUCUUUCCCAUGUGGCUUAGUGGUUUGUUGCGCCAGGGCGUUGGCCUCUCAGGGCUGGACCAGCGAGUGGGGGAGCUGUGUGGCUUUGCCGGUGGCCUCCCCUUUCCCUGCACACCCGCCAGCUGCUCCCUGUCAAACAUAUGCUGGCGGGCAAGCAGCUUCCCUCCCAAGCCUCUGUGGGGAUUGCUCUACCGCAGCGGCAUGGGGAAGAGUUGCGCACACAGCCCCCCCCCCAAUGGCUGGCAGUGCGCACGCACCCCACUAUCCGUGGUAAUUUGGGGGCACUGAGCAGAUAUUUGCACCCCGGCGCCGCAUCUGCUAAAGACGGCCCUGGUAGAAGCUGAAGCAGGCAAGUGGGAGAGAGGCCAAGAGGCAGAGAUGAGUCUGGCAGUUGAAGAGUCGCAGGUAUCUCCCCCCUUCUGCUGUGACAAGCUCCCCUCCCCGCUUGUUUCCCAGAACCAGAAGAGAGCUGAAACAGGUGGAGCGACAGCAGGCUGCAUGCAGUCUCUUAUUGCUUGGAAGAAGCCCUGGAAAGGAGGGAACUUAAGACAGCCGUGAGGAGAUGGGGACUUCCAGUUUCAGCAACUGAUUCAUGGGGCCAGACCUACUGGGGAUA